rnacentral:rRNA from 1 species
AUGGAUCUGCGGCCUAUCAGGUAGUAGUGGGUGUAAUGUACCUACUAGCCGACGACGGGUACGGGUUGUGAGAGCAAGAGCCCGGAGAUGGAUUCUGAGACAUGAAUCCAGGCCCUACGGGGCGCAGCAGGCGCGAAAACUUUACAAUGCGGGAAACCGCGAUAAGGGGACACCGAGUGCCAGCAUAUUAUGUUGGCUGUCCGCAUGUAUAAAUAACAUGUGUUAGCAAGGGCCGGGCAAGACCGGUGCCAGCCGCCGCGGUAACACCGGCGGCCCGAGUGGUAGCCGCUAUUAUUGGGUCUAAAGGGUCCGUAGCCGGUUUGAUCAGUCUUCCGGGAAAUCUGACAGCUUAACUGUUAGGCUUCCGGGGGAUACUGUCAGAC